rnacentral:rRNA from 1 species
AGAGUUUGAUCCUGGCUCAGGACGAACGCUGGCGGCACGCUUAACACAUGCAAGUCGAACGAGAGAAGAGGAGCUUGCUUUUCUGAUCUAGUGGCGGACGGGUGAGUAACACGUGAGCAAUCUGCCUUUCAGAGGGGGAUACCGAUUGGAAACGAUCGUUAAUACCGCAUAACAUAAUUGAACCGCAUGAUUUGAUUAUCAAAGAUUUAUCGCUGAAAGAUGAGCUCGCGUCUGAUUAGCUAGUUGGUAAGGUAACGGCUUACCAAGGCGACGAUCAGUAGCCGGACUGAGAGGUUGAUCGGCCACAUUGGGACUGAGACACGGCCCAGACUCCUACGGGAGGCAGCAGUGGGGAAUAUUGCACAAUGGAGGAAACUCUGAUGCAGCGAUGCCGCGUGAGGGAAGAAGGUUUUAGGAUUGUAAACCUCUGUCUUCAGGGACGAAAAAAGACGGUACCUGAGGAGGAAGCUCCGGCUAACUACGUGCCAGCAGCCGCGGUAAUACGUAGGGAGCGAGCGUUGUCCGGAAUUACUGGGUGUAAAGGGAGCGUAGGCGGGAUCGCAAGUCAGAUGUGAAAACUAUGGGCUUAACCCAUAAACUGCAUUUGAAACUGUGGUUCUUGAGUGAAGUAGAGGUAAGCGGAAUUCCUAGUGUAGCGGUGAAAUGCGUAGAUAUUAGGAGGAACAUCAGUGGCGAAGGCGGCUUACUGGGCUUUAACUGACGCUGAGGCUCGAAAGCGUGGGGAGCAAACAGGAUUAGAUACCCUGGUAGUCCACGCCGUAAACGAUGAUUACUAGGUGUGGGGGGACUGACCCCUUCCGUGCCGCAGCAAACGCAAUAAGUAAUCCACCUGGGGAGUACGACCGCAAGGUUGAAACUCAAAGGAAUUGACGGGGGCCCGCACAAGCAGUGGAGUAUGUGGAUUAAUUCGAAGCAACGCGAAGAACCUUACCAGGUCUUGACAUCGUAUGCAUAGCUCAGAGAUGAGUGAAAUCUCUUCGGAGACAUAUAGACAGGUGGUGCAUGGUUGUCGUCAGCUCGUGUCGUGAGAUGUUGGGUUAAGUCCCGCAACGAGCGCAACCCUUACUGUUAGUUGCUACGCAAGAGCACUCUAGCAGGACUGCCGUUGACAAAACGGAGGAAGGUGGGGAUGACGUCAAAUCAUCAUGCCCCUUAUGACCUGGGCCUCACACGUACUGCAAUGGCUGUCAACAGAGGGAAGCAAAGCCGCGAGGUGGAGCGAACCCCUAAAAGCAGUCUUAGUUCGGAUUGUAGGCUGCAACCCGCCUACAUGAAGUCGGAAUUGCUAGUAAUCGCAGAUCAGCAUGCUGCGGUGAAUACGUUCCCGGGCCUUGUACACACCGCCCGUCACGCCAUGGGAGUCGGUAACACCCGAAGCCUGUAGUCUAACCGCAAGGAGGACGCAGUCGAAGGUGGGAUUGAUGACUGGGGUGAAGUCGUAACAAGGUA